rnacentral:rRNA from 1 species
CGUGACUAGGGAACUCUGAGUGCCCGUUAAAUCGGGCUGUCCAUCGGUUUAAAUAACCGGUGAAGAAAGGGCCGGGCAAGACCGGUGCCAGCCGCCGCGGUAAUACCGGCGGCUCGAGUGGUGGCCACUAUUACUGGGCUUAAAGCGUUCGUAGCUGGUUUGUUAAGUCUCUGGGGAAAUCUUCCGGCUUAACCGGAAGGCGUCUCAGGGAUACUGGCAGACUAGGGACCGGGAGAGGUGAGAGGUACUCCAGGGGUAGGAGUGAAAUCCUGUAAUCCUUGGGGGACCACCUGUGGCGAAAGCGUCUCACCAGAACGGCUCCCACAGUGAGGGACGAAAGCUGGGGGAGCAAACCGGAUUAGAUACCCGGGUAGUCCCAGCUGUAAACGAUGCGCGUUAGGUGUAUCGGUGACCACGAGUCACCGAGGUGCCGAAGAGAAAUCGUGAAACGUGCCGCCUGGGAAGUACGGUCGCAAGGCUGAAACUUAAAGGAAUUGGCGGGGGAGCAC